AGCUGCCCUCUUGCCGUGUUCAUGCUUUGGUAGAACACCUUCAGAGCCUUGGCAAGCUCUCGGUCAGAGCCGGCUUGCUGUGUGCACAUUUGGCUCAUCUCCCCGGCGGAUGGCAGUUGCGCAGUCAUCCCGCUGAUCUUCAGAGUGUUGGAAGGCUUCGGGGCUGAGGUGGAAAAAGGAUGUGGCCUUCACCUGUGACCAUGAGGCCCAGCUGAGAGCAGCUCAGCUCGGUGCAGCCUUCUGUAAUGGGGAGAGACACAGUCAAAGAAAGAAACAUCCCAGUCGCCCAGCUCCAGUGUCAGCUUCAUGCAGUAGGCCAGCGACUGGAGCCAGAUGUGAGCUGAGCCCAAGCGGACGACCUCGACAGGAUCCCAGAAAGGGUCGUCAUCUCGAGCCACAGGGCCGUGAUCUCCAUCUAGAAAGCGCUGGUAAAGUUCCUGCAUUAGGAAUUUCCUAUUGAUGAACUUGGCUUUUGACCAUAUCCACACCUGGAAACACAGAGGAAAGCAGAGAGACACAGUGUGAAAUCGCUGCUCUCAGAUCAGCACACGGGAGAGGCCAGCAGUCAGGAGGGGGCUCACCGAGUUUGUCUGCACUCGCUCCCUCCGCAGCCGCCCUCUCCAGCUGGAAGAAGUCGUAAUCGAACCUGCUCAGGUCCUCACUGCCCCACUCCGAAGGAAACCCCACGUACAGGUGAGGUCAGAGGAGUGAAGUGACUUGCCCAAGACCACACAGUGAGUCAGGAGCAGGCCUGUCCCUCCAGCAGUGGUGCCAUGUUGUCCCCAAGCCAUGGUGGCAGAGGAGCUGGUGUGAACGCCCCAUCCUGCCACGUCUGUGAUGUGGGCACCUCACAUGACUGUCCCCUCCCAGCUCUUGGGGGGGACCUAGGACAUUCUGUGAGCCUGCAGGAAAGUUUACCAAAUGCUGCAGCUUUGUCCUGGUGGUGAUGGGCACCCCGUUAACGGCAACCUUGCAUUUGCUAUGUGGAGUGACCGUCACUUUACCGUCGGCAUUUGUGAAGGAAGCGUGUUUAUCUGAAAUUCUAAGAAGAUGAGAGUCAAAGACACCCAGCAAACGGCGGUUUCCGUGAGCAGGUAGGCUGACCUUUCUCAUGUGCACAGGAGGGAAGGUCUACAGCUGCGGAGGAUGGCAGGUGGCAUCUCGGGGCCUCCUGUGUGCUGUGGCCCAUGAUGCAUGGGGACAGCAGCGGGCGCAGAAGGACCCUGCCCUUGGGGAGCACGGGGAGCUGGGAGACAGCAGGCAAGGGCUUCAUUAACAGAACGAACACCAGCUGAGGGCCUAGCACUGCGGGGAGCCGGCCAAGGCCACACUGGAGUCCUCCCGCUCCCAGGCCAGCGGGAUGGGGUGGUGGGAAGAUGGCAGCAAGCAAGCUUCAGAAGAGACGCUCAGGAGGCGACUCUUAACGAGCCUCACCUACUCCGGGGUUGGAGCCCAGGAAGCAAACCAGCACUGCACCCUAGAUUUCAGCCAGAGGACGAAAGCCCUGCCCUCAGCUUUCUCAGACCAGCCCUGGAGUAGGUGGCCCGGGGAGACCUGGGCAGUGUCCCUGCUUGUCCUGCAGACUGUGUGGCUCUGCAGACCUCUAGAUGGAGGAGGCACAAUUCUCUAAUGCUGGACGAGGACACUGAUCAUGGAAACUCACCCCAAACCUUGAAUCGUGAUAGCAUUUGAGGC
ensembl:lncRNA LINC01341 long intergenic non-protein coding RNA 1341